UGUUGGUGGGAGGCCUUGGUUCCUGCCUGGGGACCUCGCCACAGGGCUGAGUGCCCUCACAACAGGGCAGCCGGCCCCCCAGGGUGGACGAGCCCGGAGACCUGAGGCAAAGCGUGAUGUCCUUUCUGCUGUGCCCUGGGGUUAUGCUCCACCAUGUCCCUUGGUGAUCCACGAAGAGAAAAUGUCACUGAGCAGGACAAGUUGCUGAAUAAACGUGACCCCCCUUGAGAAUCAGACCCACGUGUUCCGUAUCCCCUCGCAGGGAACAUGAGCUAUUGAAGACUUCCUUCUGGGCGGGGAUUCCCAACUCCCUGGGUGGCCCUGUUCAGCUCUGAAGUCGGCUGGAGUCUGAUCGUCUCCUUGGGGGUGUGCACCCCUCCCAGGUCCCCAGAUCAGGGCUCCUGGCAGGACACUUAAGAAAGUCCUGAGUCUCUGUGAAACGCUUCUAUGCACAGAUCAGUAAGUCUGCAUUUAAGCUCAGGUUCUCCUAAGAAGGCUCCAACUUGCCUGCUUUUGGCCCCUGGAAAAGGAAACUGUUGGCGUUUUUUCCUAAAUGUGUAUUUGAACUUCACAAGCAUUUGUACUUUUCACCAGCGACACAGGCCAGGGGUAAGUUGAAAGGCUGAAAAACCAGCUUUGCUUCAGAAGGAAGAAGAUGUGCAACUAUUUCUUUUCUGGAACUUGGAUUUGAGAGCCAGACCCACGGGAACUGUGGUCUGGUGAACAGCUGCCAGGAGACCCCAGGGCACGCGGGAAAUCAAGCUGCCUUGAAGGAAAGCCUGGCCUUUGAAAUCCCACACAGAAACGGACCAACAACUGUCCAGUUUGCCCAGGACCGAGGGGUUUCCAGGGAUGCAGCUCUUUCCACAUCAAAACAGGAAGCCCAGACCAACUGGGUUUGACUUCCUUCUCUGCAGCCAUGGAGCACCUGCAACACCGUGGCCGACCGUGGCCCGAGCCACCGGGCCCGACCGUGGCUCCGGGGACUGUAAGUGUUUUGUUGAGUGACUCUGAGCUGGUCUCAAAUCUUGCUGAGGGCAGAUUACGUUAGUAAAAUAAGGCUUUUGGUCAAUGACUGCUACCCGAAAGGCUGGGAGUGAGAAUGAAAGAAAAUGCUGUUUAAACCGGGAAUCGACUGUCACGCCAGCUUUCUGUAAGCAGCGGCCGUCGGCGCCCCCUGGAGGGCUUCUUAGGAGGAGGCGCUGCUGGUUCGAAGCAGACGUGAGGAGGCCCGAGAGCUGCAUUGCUAAGCGGUCGGUUCUGCCGCUCUGCGGGCCACACCCGGGGAACCCUUGUCCCAGGGCUGCAGGAUUAGGUCUGGGGCAGUGCUGUCAACCUUCCUCUACAAGGGAUCACACAGUGAGUAUUUCAGGCUUUGUGGCCACCUGGUCUCAGCUACUCAGCGUUGCCAUGCAUGGUGGCCCCAGAAGCAGCCAUAGGCAAUAUGUGCAUGAGUGAGAGCGUUCCGAUAAAACUUUACUUACAAAAACAGCCUGUGGCACUUACAGUUUGCCAACCCCUGUGUGACUUUCUUAUGAUAUCCUUGGCUUCUCUGUGUUCUCCGUGUCUCCUGUACUGGAGGGCAGGUUGCUCGCAGCCAGCUGACAGCAGGCCGUGGAGGCCAUGGGGAGGACUGAUUGAUUUAGAGGACAGCGGGGGGGUAGCGGAGUGUAUGAGCUUCUGCCGCCUUACCACCAAGCCAGAACUCGGUGGCUCACAGCAGCGACCAUCUUAGUGCCCGCUACUUACAGGCCGGCCGGGUGGUCAUUCUGGUCUGGGCUGGUUUGGUCUCUGCUGGGCUUUCUUGUGCACUGGAGGCCACUUAGCAGAUGGCCUGGCAUGGGGUGACUGAAGAUGGCCGGGCGCCUCAGUUCUCCGACAAGUGGCCUCUCCUCCGAGAGGCUGGCUCAGGCUCCUUCACGUGAUGGCCUUAGCAUGGCACGAGGGGUUCGCUGGCCCUCCUGCUGGCCGACCGCAUGUGGUGCCCGCACAAUCACGUGUCGUCGUCAUGGGAAUCACGUGGCCAGCCCAGGGUUAAGAGUUGGGAGGUAGGCUCCUUUGUAACGGGAGAGGCUGCCAAGGACGUAUGGCUGUUUGCACUUUACUGCUCGGACUGAGAGGUGGGCUAGAAAACCAAGUGGCCUGGGAUCGAGUUCUUGCUGCCGCUGCCCAGCUGAACAUCUUUAUUCCCUUGCUGACCCCCAGCCCCACAGGGUUGCUGGGCUGGGAAGCUUCAGUGAGUCCACCUUGAACUGUGUCUGCCACGAGGAAGUCCCCUGUGCGUGGAGGCUGUUACGAAUCUCAGUGAAUCCCACAGAUGUAACAGCAGUGGGGGCAAGGCAGUGAAGGACCCCCCCGGCCCCCCGGAAUGUGCCUUCCACGUGCUUCUCCAGGACUGCCCACCACCUUGGACGCUGGGCCUUCCCGUGCCUGCUCCCCUGUCUGGAAUCUGUCCGAGUCCUCCAGGGCCAACUCACAAGGUCGCCUUCUCUAUCUAGCCCUUAUCACAUUGAAUUUAAAGUGAUUUUUAAAAAACAAACAUGCUCCUAUAAGCUGGGGGCCCCUUGAGAGCAGAGCCAGUGCCUUGUGCGGAGCACCCAGUGUUGAUUUUGAGAACCUCUCAUUACAGCCUCUUUAAGUCAUUUGGGGCAGGUUUCUCCCCACUUCUUAUUGGCAACAUUGAAAGCCAGCCAGGCUAAUUUCCCACUGAGGGAGGACUUUUAACAGGCACUGUGUAAACACCGCCUGUUCUGUUCCCUUACGGCUAUAUGUGGUCUCUUCUGGGACACUGCCACAAGGAGCUUGGUGUAAUUUCCUUAAGAAAAACAAACAGUAGCCACAUUCUGUCAACCCUACCUGCUUCCCAGGAGAAGAACGAACCCCAUCCUGAGACAUGGGGUGAUCUGGCCCGACAGGUGGCAGGGGUGGGGGAAGGUGGGCUCCCCACACGCUCUCUCUGCAUUCAGGAGGUCCGGAAGCCGGCUGGGGUAAUACAGUGAGUCAGGAUUCCAUACAUGCUUGUGGUAUUGAACUGCUCUAUUAUAAAAGGGAGCCAAGAUUGUAGACAUUUUGCAGGGGCAGCAGACAGAUACUUCAUUUUUUUUCCUAUAAGGACCGUUUUUAGAUGGAUUCCUUUUUUUUUUUUUUUUUUAAGUAUCACUGAUAGAUAAUCUUAUGUUGGUUUCAAAUAUA